CUGUCCGGGCCUAAUUGGCUCAACAAUAUAUAUAUAUAUAUAUAUAUAAAAUGAGGCUACUAUACUAUCUAUAGUACCAGAGCUCCGGUACUAUAGUCUAGUUUUCGAUCUUAGGGUAUUCAAAUCAACAAACCACACCGUCAAAUAUAAUCUAGGGUAUAUGAAGUUCUUAGGAAUAAAAUUUUAGUUCUUUUUUACAUCGUUUACUUAGUAAAUAAAUUAUGUCAAAAUGGACGGUGAAAAUUGAAUAAUUUUUAAAAUUUAAGCAUAGGACUUUUAAAUUCAAGAUUAAGAAUGUUAACCUUAAUCUAGAUAGUUUAAAGUAUUUUCUAUCAAAAUUUGAAGAAAUUUAGAUUCUUCUACACCGUAAAACUCCAAACUCGUCAUAGUAGCCAUUGAAAAUUGACAAUUUUGAAAUGAUUUGAUCAUAAAGUAAAGUAUGUCGAAAAAAUAUAAAAUUUUAUUUCUAAAAACUUUAAAUACCCUAGAUCAGUUUUAACGCUGUGGAUCGUUGAUUUGAAUACCCUAAGAUCGAAAACGAGACUAUAGUACCGGAGGCCCGAUAUUAUAGAUAGUAUAGGAGACUAGCUAUAUAUAUAUGAGUUGAGCUAGAAUACUAUCGGUAGCAAACGGGCUCCGUUGCCAUCCAUUUGUUUUCGAUGAUGGAGCCUCCAAAUCGAUGAUCGGAACUGUUGAAUAUGAUCUAUACCACUUGAAGUAUCUAGAAAUUAAAUUUCAUGCUUUUUCGAUAUUAUUCUCUCAUCCACCAAGUAAGCGUAAAAAUGAACGGUUGAAAAUGAAUAUCCUCUAAAAAGUAAUGAUAGAAAUUUUGUAAUCAAGAUCGAGAGUAUAGAUCUUAUUCUAAACAGUUUAAAGAAUUUUCUAACCAAAAUUCAAUUGAUUUGGAUAGCUUUACACCGUUAAAAGAGAAAACCCCUUAUAUCUACCAUUAAAAUUACAAAUUUUAAAACCCUUCGAUCAUUAGGUCAAUGAUGUCGAAAUGAUUUGAAAUUUGGUUUCUAUAUACUUCAAGUGGUAUAGAUCAUGUUCAACGGCGCCGAUCGUCGAUUUAAAGGCUCCAUCAUCGAAAACAAAUGGGUGGCAACGGAGCUAGUUUGCUACCGAUAGCAUUCCAGCUCAAUUCUAUAUAUAUAUAUAUAUAUAUAAAAUUGAGCUCCUAUGUUUUUUAAAAAUACCAAGUUAUUAGUGCUUACAGAUUUUUGACCAUUGGAUAAAGGAAUGUGCGGUUAGGAUGAUGUGGGACCCAUAGGGUAAUUAAGUGGGUGGUUGAUUGUAUAGUGUAAUCUGAUAGGUAAAAAUAAUCAAAGGGAUGGAUCUAACGGUAAAAAAUUUAAAAGCACCAAGUGUUUGGUGCUUUUAUAAGCACCAUGCAUUGCCGGACUAU
rnacentral:lncRNA from 1 species